GGGAGGAGCGGGGCUGGGCGCAGAGGCGGCUGCUUGAUGCCGUUCGGCGGAGGCUCCCGCCCUGCCAGCUCCUCACCUGUUUAAGCUGCAAAGAAGAGUGCUCUUUGCUGAAGCUGAUGUGACUGAGAAGAUAUCCUGGAGGUUGGGACUGAAUGGAAGGCUGGAAGGAAACCUGGGAGUUUCAGAAGGUAUGCAUGGCCAGUGAGGAGCUUCUCAGUGAACUAGAACUCAAGAAGAGGCAGAAACAAGGACAGGCAGCAAAACAGAAAUUAAAAAGCAGUGUUAGGUACUUAGCGUCAAAAUCAGAAAGGCCAAAACAGAGCUGGAGCUGAGACUGCUGAGGAGAACUGAUGGGAACAAGAGAGAUUCUGCAAAAUGCUAGUUGGAAAAGGAUGUUCAGGGAAAAUAAGCUCUUAAUGAGAAUAGAUGACAGUGAAAAAGCUAAAUUACUCUAUGUCUUUUUUUCUACCACCUUCGGAGCAAAAACCUACUUUCAUAGUGCUUGCAUAGUACAAGAAAUUAACAGCCAGCAGGGGAGGGCCAACUUAGACACUAGAGAAACAGCAUCUGUUCAGAUCCAUUGGGUUUCUCCCACAAGCUGAUGGGAAGCCUUCUUGAUCCUGUGGUCACGAUUGGGAUACCACUGCCAAUCUUUAAAAGAGGCAAGAAGAAUGGCUCAGGGAACUAUAAAAUAGUCAGAUUCACCUCAAGCAGUCUAAAGGAGAUGGAACAUUUAGUCAGGGGCAGUCAGCCCUGGAAGAUAAGCCCUGUAUGAGCUGCCUAAUAUGGUAGAAUGACUGGCUCUAUGGACAAGGGCAGAGUAGUGGGUGUAAUGUACCUUGAUUAGAGUAUGCCCUUUGGUACCACAGCCCCAGCCUUCCCCUCUAGAAACUGAAGAAAGAUAGACCGGACAAACAGACUUUUAGAUGGACUGAAAGCUGUAUGGAUCAUGAGCCUGUAAGGAUAGCAGUCAAUAAGUCAACAUUUGGCUGUUAAUUAGCAAAGUUCCCUGGGGUCCAUAUUGGCACCCGUAUUCACGCCUUUAUUGACAAUGUGAUGGCAGUGCAGAAUUCAUUCCCAGCAGAUCUGCAGAUAGCACUAAAUUAGGGAAAUGGAAAAUUCAGCCCACACACACUCUGAGACCUUCAAGGAUUGGACAGAGAUCUUGUGAUCCAUAUAAGAGGUAUGAAAUUCUGCACCUGGAACAGCUGGAAUAAUCCUCUUGAUGGGUACAUGCUGGGAAGCAACUGACUGGGCAAUAGUUCUGAGGGUUACAGUGUGCUCCAGAUUGAAUGUGAGCACUCAACUUGCUCUUGUAAAAGAAGCCAAGAUAUAUUAGAAGCAUGGCCAAUACAUCCAAGGAACUUUGCUGAUCAUUUCUACCUGGUAUUGGUGAGGCCGUAUCUGAAACGCUGUGUACAUUUUUUUAUACCUCUUGUCAGGAGGGAUGUAACAUCUAACAGGAGAGUUCAGUGGAGAGCUUGUCCCCCAGGGGUCUGU